rnacentral:lncRNA from 1 species
GGAGAGAUAGCCUGGAGAGGAGGAAGGUAUAGACAUGAGGGAUGGGCAAACAAGAGGGAGAUAGUUCUAGAAGGCCAAGAGAGAAAUUACAGCAGCCAAGGCAUCAUGGGGAGAGGGCAGGAGAAAGCACUCUUCCACAGAACUGCACAGAAAUGGUGGACAGAGGGAUGGUGAUGGACCAGCUCAGUGAGGCUUAGAUAUGGGGGUACAGAGGGGCAAGAAGAGAUCUGACGGGACCUGGCUUCUAGAAGGAAGCUACAGUCUACAGCCAUCCCUCCUGGUCUCCACAAGUCCAGGGCACCUUCUGAAUGGGAGGAGACGACGUUCCUGGUGAAGCUGAGCUGAGGGCACGUUCAUCCCUUCACUGGCAUAGCUCCUCAGGAUUCCAGAGUAUACUGAAGACCAACUGAGGCACCCAGACUUGUGGACUGAACAACCAUUGGGACUUCUUGAUAGGCAGCUACUGUUGGACUAGCCGGACCACAGCCUGUAAGCCACUCGAAUAAAUUUCAUACAUAUAUGGAA